rnacentral:rRNA from 1 species
AGCGUGUGGUUUAAUUCGAUGCUACACGAAGAACCUUACCAGGGUUUGACAUGCAAGUGGUAGGAAUCUGAAAAGGGACCGACCUUCGGGAGCUUGCACAGGUGCUGCAUGGCUGUCGUCAGCUCGUGUCGUGAGAUGUUCGGUUAAGUCCGCUAACGAGCGCAACCCUCACUGUGUGUUAUGUGUGUCACACGGGACUGCCGGUUUUAAGCCGGAGGAAGGUGGGGAUGACGUCAAGUCAGCAUGGCCUUUAUAUCCUGGGCUACACACACGCUACAAUGGUCGGUACAAUAGGUUGCCAAGCCGCGAGGCGGAGCCAAUCCACAAAGCCGGCCUCAGUUCAGAUUGUAGGCUGCAACUCGCCUGCAUGAAGAUGGAGUUGCUAGUAACCGCAGGUCAGCAAUACUGCGGUGAAUACGUUCCCGGGUCUU